rnacentral:rRNA from 1 species
UUUUCAGCAGCCGCGGUAGUACGGAGGGUGCAAGCGUUGUUCGGAAUCAUUGGGCGUAAAGCGCGUGUAGGCGGCUUGGCAAGUCAGUUGUGAAAGCCCGGGGCCCAACCCCGGAACUGCAUCUGAAACUGCUUGGCUAGAGUCCCGGAGAGGAAGGCAGAAUUCCCGGUGUAGGGGUGAAAUCCGUAGAUAUCGGGAGGAAUACCAGCGGCGAAGGCGGCCUUCUGGACGGUGACUGACGCUGAGACGCGAAAGCGUGGGGAGCAAACAGGAUUAGAUACCCGUGUAGUCC